UACGUAGGGGGCAAGCGUUGUCCGGAUUUAUUGGGCGUAAAGAGCGUGUAGGCGGCUAUACAGGUCCGUUGUGAAAACUGGAGGCUUAACCUCCAGACGUCGAUGGAAACCGUAUGGCUAGAGUCCGGAAGAGGAGAGUGGAAUUCCUGGUGUAGCGGUGAAAUGCGCAGAUAUCAGGAAGAGCACCCGUGGCGAAGGCGGCUCUCUGGGACGGUACUGACGCUGAGACGCGAAAGCGUGGGGAGCGAACAGG
rnacentral:rRNA from 1 species